rnacentral:misc_RNA from 1 species
CUACAAACACAGAGCUGGUUCCAGGA